rnacentral:rRNA from 1 species
UAGUCCACGCCGUAAACGAUGUCAACUAGCCGUUGGGAGCAUAUAAGCUCUGAGUGGCGCAGCUAACGCGAUAAGUUGACCGCCUGGGGAGUACGCCGGCAACGGUAAAACUCAAAGGAAUUGACGGGGGGCCCGCACAAGCGGUGGAGCAUGUGGUUUAAUUCGAUGCAACGCGAAAAACCUUACCUACCCUUGACAUCCUCAGAACUUGUUAGAGAUAACUUGGUGCCUUCGGGAACUGAGUGACAGGUGCUGCAUGGCUGUCGUCAGCUCGUGUCGUGAGAUGUUGGGUUAAGUCCCGCAACGAGCGCAACCCUUGUCCCUAGUUGCCAGCACGUAAAGGUGGGGACUCUAGCAAGACUGCCGGUGCAAACCGUGAGGAAGGUGGGGAUGACGUCAAAUCAUCACGGCCCUUACGUCCUGGGGCUACACACGUGCUACAAUGGUAGGGACAAUGAGCAGCCACGUCGCGAGGCGGCGCUAAUCUAA